GCCCUCUAGCCUUCGGGUUGCUGGCGGUUACAAGGCCGCCCACACGGGUUGCCGAUUUAGACCUGAUUUCGGGACCAAGGGCGAGAGCGACCUCUCAGGCCUAGCCAAUUCGGUUCUGUGGUAUCAAAAACACCAAAGAUAAGAAACUCUUAUGUGCAGUUGUACGACUAUGAAAAGGGGGGUGAGUGCGUGCGGGCGCGGCCUAAAUUUGUGAGAAAGCACCUAAGGAAAUGAACCCGCUUCACCGCGCUCAGCCAGACACAGCCAGCCAGGCGGCCUGGCGGGGCCGGCCACCCAGGAAAGGCCCUAGGGACCCUUCUCCUCCAGGAACUCGUUUCCCGCCGGUCGCAGAAUGCUGCCUUCGCGCGGAAACUGGCUUCCUAGGGUUUCCCGCCGCUGGGCGGAGGUGGCCACCCAAGUAAGGCCUAUAGGCCGCCGGGCCGGGUAGGAUCCCCAUCUCUGCCCGCUGCGCUCACAACCGGACUUUGGGCCAGGGAGGUGCUAGUGCCGCCUCUCUGAAGGCCUCUCUGCAGAGGCGGACGUUUCCGUUUGUGGACCUUCCAUGUUAGCAUUUGGCUUAAGGGGCUGGGGUCAUGGAAAACGUUUUUAAAGGAUGCAAAAUUACACACCUAUGAAGAAAGUACUCCAGCGAUCCAGAUAGGAAUAAUUUCUCAAAAAGUCCAAAGGGGCAUUACCUAAGAAGGAAGAGAGCAUAUGGAAGUAGAAAAAAGCUGUUGUUUUCUUCUUAGAAAGCUGCCCAGCUGUACAAACAAGAUAGAAGUUCUCAGACAGAUCUGACAUAUGUCUUACUAUCAGAUGUGUAGCUGAAACCAUUUGGAUGUGAACAAAGAAAGAGGAAUUAUUUUCAUGGAUGAGAAGCAAAUGGCUAAACUUGAUGUCACCAAUCAUGACUCAAUAUUCAAGUCAAAAGAGGCAAAAUAGAAACAUACAAGAUUGAUUGUAUCUUGUUUUCUCAACUAAUAUUUCAAAGUCAAGAGCUUUUGUAUAUGUACUGAAAAAGUGACUUUCAAUCUGGUCUUUAAAGCUAUGAUUACCAUCUUUUCAUCGACACAUCUGUGCUGAUUAUCUUCCUUUUGCUCCUCCAGGACCACUGUCCACCUGCCCCUGUCCUGGAGUCCAAGGGCAUGGAGUCUAUCACUGGGGUCAGUACUUUCAGGCUUCAGCUGAGUUUGGCCGGUGGAGAGGAAGCACAGACAUGAAUCUGCAAGAUGGGAAAAGAGUGAGAAACCUCCAUAAUGUUCUCUGCAGGUCCACACUCUUAAUUGGUCCCUUGGAGGUGGUGAUGGUGGACAUUAAAAGUACCU